ensembl:snoRNA small nucleolar RNA SNORD103/SNORD85
UCUGGCUGUGAUGACACACUUGCCCCUCACUGAGAGAUCAGUCUCGAUAAUGAGAAUUUCUUGUACUCAUAUUUCCUGAGCCACA